rnacentral:rRNA from 1 species
CAGCCGCCGCGGUAAUACGUAGGUGGCAAGCGUUGUCCGGAAUUAUUGGGCGUAAAGGGCUCGCAGGCGGUUUCUUAAGUCUGAUGUGAAAGCCCCCGGCUCAACCGGGGAGGGUCGUUGGAAACUGGGAAACUUGAGUGCAGAAGAGGAGAGUGGAAUUCCACGUGUAGCGGUGAAAUGCGUAGAGAUGUGGAGGAACACCAGUGGCGAAGGCGACUCUCUGGUCUGUAACUGACGCUGAGGAGCGAAAGCGUGGGGAGCGAACAGGAUUAGAUACCCCUGUAGUCCCUGUCUCUUAUAC